UUGGACCAACCUGUACUAGAGCAGCAGCUAGAACCUCCAAAGUCCAAGAGUAGCACUCUAAGCCUAACUUGUAUCAGGAAAAACCCUGACAGCAGCAGUAGCAGCAAUAUGGAGGGCCUUCUCUGGAGCCCGGGACAACUGGAAAGGCUCAAAGCUGGCCUGCAGCUCUUCUGACACAGUCACAGCCAGUCAAGAAUCCACCCAUGGUACAGACUGGACAACCUGGGAGACAGUUCAGAUCAGCCAUAUCAAUUCAGCUUUAAACCACAAUGGAAAUGUGAAUGAUUUUCUGUUUUGUUUUGAAAAAUAAUAAACAAAUUUUUGUCAUGGUGUUUGUGACAUAAGA